UACGUAGGUGGCAAGCGUUGUCCGGAUUUACUGGGCGUAAAGGGCGUGCAGGCGGUCUGUUAAGUGCAGGGUGAAAGCCCCCGGCUCAACUGGGGAGGGUCACGCGAUACUGAUCGACUCGAAGGCAGGAGAGGGUAGUAGAAUUCCCGGUGUAGUGGUGAAAUGCGUAGAUAUCGGGAGGAACACCAGUGGCGAAGGCGACUACCUGGCCUGUUCUUGACGCUGAGGCGCGAAAGCUAGGGGAGCAAACGGG
rnacentral:rRNA from 1 species